rfam:Pseudomonas alcaligenes NBRC 14159 DNA, contig: PA6010.
CUAGCUUUCACCGCAAGGUUUCCACCGCUGGUGGAACAGACUUCCGCGGCUCGCCACCGGCGUGCCGCGCCCGGCCCCAAGCCGGUUUUGCCUAACCCGCCGGCGCAUUCGCCGGC